GGUGUGAGUCUCGAAAUGUCCCGUUCACACAGCAACUUACAGUAGCGUCUGGAACACUGUCUGUAAGAACGUGCAACGAGUGUCCAGCCCGUAUUAUCUUACUAGUAACCAUAACGACAGUGACCAACGUAAUAUUAAAGAUGGCGACGUCCUGAAAAGACUCAUCACUUUUGACAUGACAAGAGACCAGUUGAACCGCGAGUGUAUCCAUUCAAACUUCUUUAACCAACAGCAGCAUGUAAACACGCGGUAGCCGGAGUGUUUAACCGUUACACUCGCGUGUCAGUUUGCGACGUCUCGCGCAUGACACGGUAUUUGAAUUUGGAAAAGAAACACAAAACUGACGGGGGCCGCUCCGGUGGAAAACAGUGAUUGGAUCGAACACAUGACGCACAGCUCAUAUCUCUGUAGCUAGCUUCGUCCACCACCUUUUCCAUCCAGUCCAGUCCAGUCCAGUCCACCAUCUUCCUCCAUCCAAUGGGCAGAGCUACAUAACGACAAUACUUGGUGAGUGCUGCGGAUGGGCAGGUGAGGAGUGUACCUGUCUGCCUUUGAGGCUCAGAGACCUGGCUGACGGCCUAAUGCUGAGAGGCAUGAGUAGGAAAUGGACAGUAGAGAGGGCGUUGGUGAAGUGUUAUGAAGCAAGCGCACACCCAUAGUCUCAUCACAUAUAAGUUAUUAAGUCCCUUUCCAUCCACUGAAAUGGCAGCGAAAUGCUGAAAGAAACAGCUCAAGUGGAACGGCAUGGAGCCAUGGUUUCAAAAGUUACAAGAACAGCUGGCAGUCUCAGUUAUUUGACUGCCAUAAUACAGUCUGAAGUCUUUAUUGGAUUACAUAACUCUUCUGGCAACAUUUGAGAGGGCAAGAUGUGGAAUAAUAUUAUAAGACCCCUGAUUGAAUACCUUAAUUUACCAGGAGCUAGAAGUUCAUCAGAGUUGGGAAAACAAAAGUCUCUCAUAUAUUCUAAGCUCUGCCGGCUCCAUGCAGGGAAUGGGAUGGGUUUCAUAAAUCUCCGAGCCAAGUUCCUUUGAGUCCAUUGGGGGGCCAGGCAUCAGCCAUGACUCAGUCUUUAAAGUGUAACUCGAGCCAAGACAUCUGCAUCGCUCGAGAGGAGGGUACUGAGGCGCAGAUUUGGAACACUCAGCAUUGGGAAUUUUGGGAAGCAGUGAUGCCUAUCAAUGACCCACUUUGAUUUCGAAAUGCUAAUUUGUUCUUUGUUGCCACAAGAUGUUGUUUUUGUGUGACUGAUUGUCAGAGAAGCCACUGAUUUUAAGAGGAGACAAGAAAAGUAAGCUUCCUGUCAUCGUUUUCCUCAGGUGCUUCUAUAGCCUGUGCUAAUGUUCAUAGCCAGAGGGAAUGUGUAUGUCUGCUGUCUGAGUUCAGCAACAGAUAUCAUUAUUGCAACACUCUCGUAAACAGUGGAGAAUUAUUACAUCACUGCUAUUACUGUAUAUUAUUCUUUUUUUUCCCCCCCUGCUUUUAGGUGAGUUUAUUGCAAAUAACAGUUACUGAAUUGAGCUGGAUAUUGUAUUUUCUUUGAAUUUGUCUCAUAUUUGAUGAAGUUUGCAUCAUUGAUUGUUUAUUACUGUAAAGCUUCUUUGAAACAAUCUGUAUUGUAUAAAGCUCUAUAUAAAUAAGGA